GAUGAAGAACGUAGCGAAAUGCGAUAAGUAAUGUGAAUUGCAGAAUUCAGUGAAUCAUCGAAUCUUUGAACGCACAUUGCGCCCCCUGGUAGUCCGGGGGGCAUGCCUGUUCGAGCGUCAUUUCACCACUCAAGCCUCGCUUGGUAUUGGGCAACGCGGUCCGCCGCGUGCCUCAAAUCGACCGGCUGGGUCUUCUGUCCCCUAAGCGUUGUGGAAACUAUUCGCUAAAGGGUGUUCGGGAGGCUACGCCGUAAAACAACCCCAUUUCUGAGGUUGACCUCGGAUCAGGUAGGGAUACCCGCUGAACUUAAGCAUAUCAAUAAGCGGAGGA
rnacentral:misc_RNA from 1 species